UACGUAGGUGGCAAGCGUUGUCCGGAUUUACUGGGCGUAAAGAGCGCGCAGGCGGUCGAUCAAGUCGCGUGUGAAAGCCCCCGGCUCAACUGGGGAGGGUCACGCGAUACUGAUCGACUCGAAGGCAGGAGAGGGUAGUGGAAUUCCCGGUGUAGUGGUAGAAAUGCGUAGAUAUCGGGAGGAACACCAGUGGCGAAGGCGACUACCUGGCCUGUUCUUGACGCUGAGGCGCGAAAGCUAGGGGAGCAAACGGG
rnacentral:rRNA from 1 species